AACGGGGGAGAGAGGAGUACGGGAGGGAGAGAGGAGUACCUCCAGCACAAGUGUUUUGUGUGUGGCGACUGUCUCAGGAACGGGCGAUGGCUGGGAGCCUCCUUUUAGGUUAGUCCCACUACAUGGGCCUGGGCCCUAAGAGAUAACUUGUAUGGGCUGGGCCAUACCGGUUCAACACUCCCCCUCAAGAUGGGUGGUAGAUAUCUAUCAUUUCCAUCUUGUCACAUGCCAAGUUACAAUCCUUUGUUCCCAGACCCUUUGUCAAACAAUCUGCAAAUUGCUGCCCAGAACUGACAUGAGUAAGGCUGAUGACCCCGGCAUCAAGCUUCUCCUUAAUGAAGAACCGAUCAAUUUCCACAUGCUUUGUCCUAUCAUGUUGAACUGGGUUAUUAGCGAUGGCUAUAGCUGACUGAUUGUCACACCACACCUUCAAGGGCCCCUUCCUCAGAAGUUUCAACUCGCUCAGUAGGUACUUCACCCAGAGCAUCUCACACAACCCUUGAGAUAAUGGCUCUAUACUCAGCUUCUGCUGUUGAUCUAGACACAACCGGCUGUUUCUUGCUUCUCCAUGAUACCAAAUUUCCUCCCACAAACACGCAGUAACCAGAAGUUGAUCUUCUAUCAUCUUGACAACUGGCCCAGUCAGAGUCACUAUAGCCAUCCACCUCAAGAUGUCCACUCUUCCCAAACCACAACCCUUUACCCGGAGUCCCCUUCAAGUAUCUCAGGAUUCUGUGCACAAUAUCAAGAUGCCCACUCCUUGGUUCAUGCAUGUAUCUGCUCACCACCCCCGUAGCAUACGUAAUGUCAGGCCUGGUAUGACACAAGUACAACAACCUUCCAACCAGUUUCUGAUACUCUUCCUUAUUCACUAGCUCUCCUGAUUGUGCUGUCACUUGGUGAUUUUGUUCAAUCGGAGUAGGGGCAGUACGACAUCCCAUCAUGCCCACGUCACUCAAGAGAUCCAAGGUGUAUUUUCGUUGGCACAAAGAGAUUCCCUUCUCCGUCCGAGCCACUUCAAUGCCAAGAAAGUAUUUUAGGUUACCCAAAUCCUUUACCUCAAACUCCUUGCUCAAACAACCCUUCAAUCUCUCUAUUUCCUCCUCAUCAUCUCCAGUGAUGAUAAUGUCAUCCACAUAAACAGCAAGAAUGGUGAUCUUCCGAUCAGAGUGCUUGUAGAACAUCGUGUGGUCACCGUUACACUGACCAUACCCCAUACCACGGACAGCACGUCUGAACCUAUCAAACCAGGCCCUUGGUGAUUGCUUCAGUCCAUACAAGGAUUUCUUCAGCCUGCAUACCUUCCCCGUAGCCUCUAAAGUACCAAAACCUGGUGGUAUUUCCAUGUACACUUCUUCUUGCAACUCACCAUGCAAGAAGGCAUUCUUGACAUCUAAUUGAUGCAACUUCCACCCAAAGUUUGCAGCACAGGAGCCCAAUAUCCUUACUGUGUUCAUCUUUGCCACGGGAGCAAACGUCUCAUCAUAGUCAAUUCCAUAAGUUUGACUAUAUCCUCUGGCGGCCAAUCUGGCCUUAUACCGUUCCACCUUCCCUUCAGGAUUCUGCUUCACUGUAUAGAUCCACUUACAACUCACUGCUUUCUUUUCUGCCGGCAAUGUGGUUAGCACCCAUGUCUUGUUUUUCCUUAGUGCUUCCAACUCUUCUAUCAUCGCUUCACGCCACCUCGGAUCUUGCUUUGCAGCUUUCCAAUCCUUUGGAAUUGACACAGUUUGAAGGGAGGCAACAAACGCCUUAUAUGUGGGUGACAAAGCCUUAUAAGACACAAAAUUGCCAAUAUCAAGAUCAUCACAAGCAUCAUCCUUCGGUAGAGCCUUCCUUGCUACUUCACCCUUUCUUGCCGCUUCACGUGUAGCCUUUCGCAAUGCAAUGGGCAGCUCCACUGUGUCAGAUGAGCUCGUUUCACUAUCUUGCUGCUCCCCCUGCACUCUUGCCUCAUUGCCUUGUUGCUCCCCCUGCACUCUUGCCUCACUGCCUUGCUGCUCCCCUUGUACGUGUGGUUGCCGUCGAGAGUACACUAGGGUGUUCGUCUGCCAUCGAUCCCGAACAGGAACCCGAAGAGCAUCAAUCUUAAGUGUAUCGACGGUUGGCUCGACAGGAACCUGCACAUCAUCAUCAGUGAGAGUACUAACCGGAAUUGUUCCCACUAUUGGUUGGACCUAUCAUCAGUGAGGGUACUAACCGGAAUUGUUCCCACUAUUGGUUGGACCUGAACUUGCACAACAUUAGCAGUGUUAUUGCCCACAGAAUCACCCUGAGACACAUCCUUCUCCCCCUCUUGACCAUCGUGCACAUGAUGUAGGUGGUCAAGCUCUGCAAAUAGCAGACUGAGAUCAGUCGGCGUACCAUAGAAUGGCUCGGACUCCCUGAAGGUAACAUCCAUACUCACGAACCUGCGUUUUUCAGAGGGAGACCAACAUUUAUACCCCUGCUGACUAGAAGAGUAUCCCAGGAAGACACACUUCACUGCCCGAGGAUCAAGCUUUCCAACAGAUGGUCGGUGAUCACGAACAAAGCAAGUACUGCCAAACAACUUUGGGGAAACAACAAACUUAUUAUCUCCAAUGAGCAACUCAGACGGAGAUUUCAUACCUAAUAUCCUGGAAGGUGUCCGGUUGAUCAGGUACGUGGCUGUCAUAACUGCUUCAUCCCAUAAGAACUUAGGCACAUUCAUGGUAAACAUUAAUGACCGAGCAACCUCAAGAAUAUGACGAUUCUUCCUUUCGGCCACUCCAUUCUGAGGUGGGGUGUCCGGACAUGAAGUUUGAUGAAGAAUCCCUUGGUUAGCCAUGAAAUCCCCAAAAAUAUUGUUCACAUACUCUGUACCAUUGUCAGUCCUGAGCACGUUGACCUGCACCUGAAACUGGUUCUUUACAAGAGCAUGGAAGUUCUGAAAACAGCUAAACUCCUCAUCCUUGUGACGCAUCAAGUAAAUCCAAGUCAUACGAGAAUAGCAGUCAAUAAAGGUAACAAAAUACUUCUUUCCAUUCAUUGACACUACUGGGCUAGUCCAUACAUCCGAAUGAAUGAGCAUAAAAGGAGAUAUGCUCCUAAGCCCCUUACUCACAUAUGAGGCUCGUGUGUGUUUUGCAUAUUCGCAAGCAUCACAUGUCAACUUGCCCUUGCUUAUUCCACACAUAACAUCCGGAAAGAUUCUACUCAUCUUAUCAAAAGAUACAUGACCCAUUCUACAAUGAUGGAUCAUCGCUUGCUUCUCCUUGUCCUCCAUGGUCGUCCUCCAUGGUCGCAGCACACACCAAGUCCGGUUGCACCUCCUGGUCCAUGUACCAGAGCCCCCUACGCCUGGUGCCAGUCCCAACCGUCUGGCUCGUCUGUCGCUCCUGAAUCAAGCAACCGAACUUGUCAAGGAUCACACGACAGUCUAUUUGAUCAAUGAGAGCACUGAAAGAGACCAAAUUGACAGGAAAAGCUGGCACAUGCAAAACUGACGACAAUGAGAUGGCUGAAGUGCAUUUGACUGUGCCAACCCCUACGACAGGCUGAUUGGUACCAUCGGCAGUUUGUAUAGUGCCCUUGUGAGUAGGAGCAUGCUUAUGGUAAGACUCAAACACACAGGAAUUACCCGCAACAUGCUUAGAUGCUCCAGAGUCUAAGACCCACUCUAAAGCACUCUCAUUAGGAGGAAGACAUGCCUUCAUCGAAUUACCUUCAUCAGUGGAGGCCCAGUGAGCAAAGUCUCCAUAGGCAGCCUCAUCAACUCCCUUGCCCUGUGACGUCCCAGUGUCCUCUUCAACUACCAUAUGCGCCCUGCCCCCUGAGUUUCCUGAGUAGCCACCUCUGCCCCUAGAAAGUUGACCCCCUGAGUUCCAUGGGUAUCCACCUCUGCCUCGAGCAUACCUUCCUUUGCCAGUGCCCCCUCUGUUGUAUCCCCUGCCUCUACCACGAGUUGGACAUUCCCUCUUCCAAUGACCUACCUCCCCACAAAUAUGACAUUUGUUGGGAUCUCCCCACUCCAUGCGCUCAGUGACUGCAAAUGUCGAAGCCGGCACAAACUUCACGUUUGCAUGCGCAAGAGAUAGCCUCACCUCCUCUUGAGACAUUGCUGCAAUAGUUUCCUCAAUAGUUGGCAGGAGAGGUUGGUGCAACAGGGAAGCCCCCCUGCCAUGAAAGCAACCUCUGAGGCCUUCCAACAGUUUCAGCACGCGCCUGCGUGCAAUCCACUUGCGCCCUGACUCGAUGCACGCCGCAUCAUAGAGUUCCAGAGGAUCACAGUUAUCCUGCUCUGCCCACAAAGCCUGCAGCUCUGCUACAUAUGCCAUCACUGACAUGUCAUCGCCUUGGCGCAGCCGACUGAUCUUCCCCUCAAUCUGAGCAAUUAGCAUGAAAUUACCCUUGCCUGAGUAUUGAGUGGAUAGAGUCUUCCAUAUCUCGGCGGACGUGGAUAGUCCCUCCACAGAGCGACCAAUGGAGGGCACCACUGAGUUCAACAACCAGCCAACAAGCACAGAGUUUAUGACCUUCCACCGCUUUCCCUCCGCGGUAGUCUUGUCUUCGGGUUCAUCAACCGCACCCAAUAAGUGCCCAUCAAGUUCCUUCUGUUCCACAGCCAGCAAUGCCCUUCUGGACCAGCUCAAAUAAUUUGUGGCCCCCUCUAGCUUCAUGUCCAGGGGUGACAUUUCGAGCUUCUGAGCCACUUCCUGUCGAGGAACGAUGGCCCCAGAGUUGGAGUUGGACUCCACGAGGAUCUUAGCGAGCUUCUCGAAAGCCUCAGCAAGCGCAUUUGGUUCAGCCAUCUCCGAUCCAGUAAACAGCAGCAGCAGCCCUCAGCAGCACAGCCCUACAGCUGCACGGUUGGUCCCUUUACGCCCCCUGGCUAGCAGCAGCUCCUAGUGCAAGCAGCAACCACAGCCUCUUCCUCCAGCAGCAGUUCUCUCCCUUCCUCUGCAAACAGCAGCAGUUCUCUUCCUCCUUCCUCUGCGAACAGCAGCAGUUCUCUUCCUCCUUCCUCUGCAAACAGCAGCAGUUCCAGAGGAUCUUGGCCUCCAACAGCAGCCAACCCCCGCAGCAGUUCUCCAGCUCCCGGUCCCCUGCAGACACACGCACACACAGCAGCACAACAAGGAGCUGCCCUUCUCCACUACCCUUCUCCUCUUCUCCUCCCGCAGCACCACAGCCCGUUGGAGACCAAGCCGCUCCUCAGCUUCCUCCUCCUGCCGCGCAGCACAGCAGCUCCACCUCUCCUUCUUCCUCUGCCGCGCAGCACAGCAGCUCCACCUCUCCUUCCUCUCCAACGAGCCGCACCUCCUGCGCAGCCACGCCGUGCCUCCCAGAUCCACCGCUGCCUCGCCGGACACCGCCCAGAUCCGCCGCCACCUCGCCGGACGUCGCCGUCGUCUUCUCAGGCCCCGCCGUCGCCGGCUCUGAUACCAUGUAGGAACGGGGGGAGAGAGGAGUACGGGAGGGAGAGAGGAGUACCUCCAGCACAAGUGUUUUGUGUGUGGCGGCUGUCUCAGGAACGGGAGAUGGCUGGGAGCCUCCUUUUAGGUUAGUUCCACUACAUGGGCCUGGGCCCUAAGGGAUAACUUGUAUGGGCUGGGCCAUACCGGUUCAACAUAUGUGAUGAAGUUCUAAUUCCAAAAAAAUGUUAACAAGUGAUUCUGGCUGAUCAUGUAGAUAUGUUUGGUCUGUCGAGUUGCACAUGUGAGGGCACAUGAUAGGAAAUUUAGCAAUGGUUAAAAUGAUCUGUUAUAUAUCAUACCGUGGAUGAAUGAGUUAGUCUAAAAGGCAAACUGUGCCCUUGCAGCUGCAACUGGUAUGCUAUCAAGCAGCCUCUCCAGUGAUUUACGAUGAAAUGAGCACAACUUACAAUUUUGUUUUCCAUUUUUGACUUAUUCUGCAAUAUCUAAUAUUUCGCCG
rnacentral:lncRNA from 1 species